CUGCUCUCUCUCUCUCUCUCUCUCUCUCUCCUAUUUUAUUUCACAGUUUGUUGUGGAAUAUCUGGAAAUUGCAAAUUGUGAAAAACUUAAUUUUAUGGAAGGCGAUGACUACCCAACCAGGCUUCGAACACUCUCGUAUUUUUCAGUUGCCACAAUUAGUGACUUUGCCCCAAGGGCUUAAAGGAUCUGCCAACACUUGGCGGUAAUGCCGGAGUGGCUUCCCAAUCUAAGUUCUCUUCGCAAACUUAAGAUUUGGGAUUGCCCAAAAUUAUCAUCUUUGCUAGAAGGUUUUCAUUUUCUCUCUCUAAAAGUGAACUGAACAUGGUGUUAAAGAAUUUACUUGGUC